rnacentral:lncRNA from 1 species
GUCAUUUUGGUGAAAAUAAUGAUUUUCCCAAUGAAUGAAUGAAUGAGUGUGAAUGCGAAAUAAUCUGUGAUAAGCAAAGUAUAAAAAAAACACAUAAUAUUAAAAUUGUAAUGUUGCAUCAUACAGUCAAGUCCACCACCUGUAAGAACUCCAUCUGAGGAGAAGAAGAGAGAACAAGAAAGAAGAGAGAAAGAAAUGGGUGCUCUUCAAGUACGUCAUGAAUUGCCAGAGGCAUCAGGAGCAGCAGCAGCAGAAGACCGACCGGACACAAGCUCAGACCAAUCUUCAAUGAAGUGUUUCAAAGAAACACAAGAGAUGCUGACUGAAGCACUGAAACCUGUGCGACGUAACAGCAACGAAUUCAAUCCCCCUAACAUGCCUGAAAGUGAGGCCAAACCUCCAGCUACUCCCUGAACAGACCACGAUUGGCAAGUUGUAGGAUUCUCCAGGUUUCCAGUGAAG